rnacentral:lncRNA from 1 species
GAGGCUUGACCUUCUUAUCGAAUGCUUUCUUCAUUCUCUGCUGAUAUAACUGACCAUGACACAUGGCAGUUGAUCUCUUCUUUUCGAUCGAAUUCAGCAUCAGCCAACUUGGGACUUUGAGGGUGCUAUUUUCUUUUGUUUCUUUCUUUCUUUCUUUUUCUUUCUUUUGAUUUUGCUUUUGAUUUUGCACCCUCCUCUUUUCUUUUUU